CAAGUAGUAGCUUAUGGAAAGUUUUUUAUUUACAUUAAAAAGUUUGUUGUUCAACUCAAUAUUACUUGA
rnacentral:tRNA from 1 species